UCGAGAAUUUUUCACAAUGGGCGCAAGCCUGAUGGAGCGACGCCGCGUGGGGGAUGAAUGGCUUCGGCCCGUAAACCCCUGUCAUUUGCGAGCAAGGCGCAUUAUUUAAAAGAUGAUGUGUUGAUAGUAGCGAAAGAGGAAGGGACGGCUAACUCUGUGCCAGCAGCCGCGGUAAUACAGAGGUCCCGAGCGUUGUUCGGAUUCACUGGGCGUAAAGGGUGCGUAGGUGGUGAGGCAAGUCGGAUGUGAAAUACUGGAGCUUAACUCCGGAACUGCAUUGGAAACUGCCUUGCUUGAGGUUUGGAGGGGGGACUGGAAUUCUCGGUGUAGCAGUGAAAUGCGUAGAUAUCGAGAGGAACACCAGUGGCGAAGGCGAGUCCCUGGACAACACCUGACACUGAGGCACGAAAGCUAGGGGAGCAAACAGG
rnacentral:rRNA from 1 species